rnacentral:rRNA from 1 species
UGCGCAGGCGGUUUUGUAAGACAGAUGUGAAAUCCCCGGGCUUAACCUGGGAACUGCGUUUGUGACUGCAAGACUCGAGUACGGCAGAGGGGGGUGGAAUUCCACGUGUAGCAGUGAAAUGCGUAGAGAUGUGGAGGAACACCGAUGGCGAAGGCAGCCCCCUGGGUCGAUACUAACGCUCAUGCACGAAAGCGUGGGAGCAAACA